UACAGAGGGUGCAAGCGUUAAUCGGAGUUACUGGGCGUAAAGGGCGCGUAGGCGGUUUAUUAAGUGAGAUGUGAAAUCCCUGGGCUUAACCUAGGAACUGCAUCUCAAACUGAUGAGCUGGAGUAUGAUAGAGGACAGUGGAAUUUCCGGUGUAGCGGUGAAAUGCGUAGAUAUCGGAAGGAACAUCAGUGGCGAAGGCGGCUUCCUGGCCCAUUACUGACGUUCAGGUA
rnacentral:rRNA from 1 species